UGCUAAGGUAGCAUAAUCAAUUGUUGGUUGAUUGCUAACUGGAAUGAAAGGUUUAAUUGUUUAGAUUAUUUGUCUGGGUUAAUAAGGUUAGAUUUUAAGUAAAAAUACUUAAAUUGUUAAAGGGGCGAUAAGACCCCAAAAGCUUAAUUGAGAUGAUUUGACUGGGGUAGUAGGUUUAUAGGAAUUAAAGUAGUUUGAAGUUAAAGAUUCUUUAAUUAAGGAUAGAAAGGGUAAGUUACUUUGGGGGUAACAGCAUUAUUCUCUCGGAGAGACCAUAUCAAUGAGAGUGGUUAUGACCUCGAUGUUGAAUUAAGAUAUCUCCUAGAGGCAGUUAAUUGGGAAGAGAGUUUGUUCAACUUUUAAAAUUUUACAUGAUCUGAGUCAAAAACACGGAA
rnacentral:rRNA from 1 species